rnacentral:rRNA from 1 species
AGUGAACGCUGGCGGUAGGCCUAACACAUGCAAGUCGAACGGCAGCACAGAGGAGCUUGCUCCUUGGGUGGCGAGUGGCGGACGGGUGAGGAAUACAUCGGAAUCUACUCUGUCGUGGGGGAUAACGUAGGGAAACUUACGCUAAUACCGCAUACGACCUACGGGUGAAAGCAGGGGAUCUUCGGACCUUGCGCGAUUGAAUGAGCCGAUGUCGGAUUAGCUAGUUGGCGGGGUAAGGGCCCACCAAGGCGACGAUCCGUAGCUGGUCUGAGAGGAUGAUCAGCCACACUGGAACUGAGACACGGUCCAGACUCCUACGGGAGGCAGCAGUGGGGAAUAUUGGACAAUGGGCGCAAGCCUGAUCCAGCCAUACCGCGUGGGUGAAGAAGGCCUUCGGGUUGUAAAGCCCUUUUGUUGGGAAAGAAAUCCAUCUGGUUAAUACCCGGGUGGGAUGACGGUACCCAAAGAAUAAGCACCGGCUAACUUCGAGCCAGCAGCCGCCGUAA